AUGGACUCCAGGCUCCUCUGCUGUGUGACUCUCUGCCUCCUGGGAGCAGGCCUGGUGGAUUCUGGAGUCACCCAGACCCCCAAAUACCUGAUCAAAUCAAGAAAGCAGCAAGCGACUCUGAGAUGUUCCCCUGAGUCUGGACACCGCUCUGUGUACUGGUACCAACAGGCCCUGGGCCAGGGCCCCCAGUUCCUCGUUCAGUAUUACAACAGGGGAGUGAAUGAAAAAGGAAACCUGCCAGAUAGAUUCUUAGAUGAACAGUUCAGUGACUCUCGCUCGCAGAUGAACCUGAGCUCCUUGGAGCUGACAGACUCAGCCGUGUAUCUCUGUGCCAGCAGCAAAGACACAGCCCUGGAUGAUCAGGUGCCUCUGGUACAAAAGCACUCCUGCCCCAGCUCAGGAAGUGGUUGUAGGGCGUGA